rnacentral:rRNA from 1 species
GAUGAACGCUGGCGGCGUGCCUAAUACAUGCAAGUCGAGCGAACAGGGUUGGUACUUGUACCUAUUGGAUGAGCAGCGAACGGGUGAGUAACGCGUGGGUAAUCUGCCUUUGAGCGGGGGAUAACAUCUGGAAACGAAUGCUAAUACCGCAUAAAAACUUUAAACACAAGUUUCAAGUUUGAAAGAUGCAUUUGCUUCACCUAAUGAUGAUACCCCGGUGUCUUAGCUAAGUGGUGAGGUAAAGGCCCACCAAGGCGAUGAUACAUAGCCGACCUUAGAGGGUGGUCGGGCACAUUGGGACUGGAACACGGCCCAAACUCCUACGGGAAGCAGCAGGAGGGGAACUUCGGGAAUGGGCGGAAGUCUGGCCGGGCAACGGCGCGUGGAGUAAGGAGGUUUUCGGGUCGGAAAACUCUGUUGGUAGAGAAGGACGAUAGUGGGAGUUGAAAACUCAUCAAGUGACGGUAACUACCCAGAAAGGGACGGCUAACUACGUG